rnacentral:rRNA from 1 species
AUUGAACGCUGGCGGCAUGCUUUACACAUGCAAGUCGAACGGUAACAGCACUUCGGUGGCUGACGAGUGGCGAACGGGUGAGUAAUACAUCGGAACGUGCCUAGUAGUGGGGGAUAACUACUCGAAAGAGUAGCUAAUACCGCAUGAGAUCUAAGGAUGAAAGCAGGGGACCUUCGGGCCUUGCGCUACUAGAGCGGCUGAUGGCAGAUUAGGUAGUUGGUGGGAUAAAAGCUUACCAAGCCGACGAUCUGUAGCUGGUCUGAGAGGACGACCAGCCACACUGGGACUGAGACACGGCCCAGACUCCUACGGUAGGCAGCAGUGGGGAAUUUUGGACAAUGGGCGCAAGCCUGAUCCAGCAAUGCCGCGUGCAGGAUGAAGGCCUUCGGGUUGUAAACUGCUUUUGUACGGAACGAAAAGCCCUCUUCUAAUACAGGAGGGUCAUGACGGUACCGUAAGAAUAAGCACCGGCUAACUACGUG